rnacentral:rRNA from 14 species
AAAAUGAUAUAAGGAUUAAUAUACCUUUAUAAUUAUUAAUAAUAUAAAGAAUCAAGAUCCCCUGAUUAGAUUGUUGGAUAAGGUAAAAGCUUAGCCAAGUCGUUGAUCAGUAACUGGCUUUAUCGAGCGAACAGUCAUGCAGAUUAUGAGAAAGG